GAUGAACGCUGGCGGCGUGCCUAAUACAUGCCAGUCGAGCGAACAGACGAGGAGCUUGCUCCUCUGACGUUAGCGGCGGACGGGCGAGUAACACGUGGAUAACCUACCUAUAAGACUGGGAUAACUUCGGGAAACCGGAGCUAAUACCGGAUAAUAUAUUGAACCGCAUGGUUCAAUAGUGAAAGACGGUUUUGCUGUCACUUAUAGAUGGAUCCGCGCCGCAUUAGCUAGUUGGUAAGGUAACGGCUUACCAAGGCAACGAUGCGUAGCCGACCUGAGAGGGUGAUCGGCCACACUGGAACUGAGACACGGUCCAGACUCCUACGGGAGGCAGCAGUAGGGAAUCUUCCGCAAUGGGCGAAAGCCUGACGGAGCAACGCCGCGUGAGUGAUGAAGGUCUUCGGAUCGUAAAACUCUGUUAUUAGGGAAGAACAAAUGUGUAAGUAACUAUGCACGUCUUGACGGUACCUAAUCAGAAAGCCACGGCUAACUACGU
rnacentral:rRNA from 1 species